GACGAACGCUGGCGGCGUGCCUAAUACAUGCAAGUAGAACGCAGUUGCGAACGGGUGAGUAACGCGUAGGUAACUGCCUGGUAGCGGGGGAUAACUAUUGGAAACGAUAGCUAAUAACGCCUACUACCAGAUGUACCUGCGUGGUAUUAGCUUGUUGGUGGGGUAACGGCUUACCAAGGCGACGAUAAAGAGCCGACCUGUGAUGGGGAACGGCCACACUGGGACUGAGACACGGCCCAGACUCCUACGGGAGGCAGCAGGAGGGAAUCUUCGGCAAUGGACGGAAGUCUGACCGAGCAACGCAGCGUGAGUGAAGAAGGUUUUCGGAUCGUAAAGCUCUGUUGUAAGAGAAGCGGUAUCUUACCAGAAAGGGACGGCUAACUACGUGCCAGCAGCCGCGGUAAUAC
rnacentral:rRNA from 1 species